ensembl:lncRNA
AGAGCAGCAGAAAGUACAGGGUUGCUGUCCAUGGAAUGGGGCAAGUUAUGGGAAAGUUUAGGGGUGAGAGAGCAGGUGCAGACAGUUUGAGGGACCUUCAGGUAUAGGUUGUGCCUGGGGGGAAGACCCCAGGAGCCCUCCGCAAGUGAGAGGAGCAGAGGAGAGGACCAGCGCCGAGCCCUGAGCUGGGUGCUGGGGGAGGCCAGACCAGUGGGCCUGAGUCAGGCAUCAGGGAAGGGUGGUGGGGUGGAUGCCCUGUGACCUAACAACAGAGCAGGUCCUUUUCACCUUCCUGGAACUUCAUGCUCUCAAGGACAAACGGAAUGCAAAGUUCUCCUAAAGGAGUUUAAUUUCUCUGAUUGCUCAUCUGUCAUAAGCUACCUCUGUAUUUUAGUAUGUUACUGAUCCAACGAGAACUGGUGUCUUUAGCACCAGUGUUCACCUGCAGAAGUCGUCGGAACUGGUCGUAUUUAAAGGGCUCCAACCGAGCGACUGAGCUGAACUGAACUGAACAAUACAGGUUUGAUUUUAGUGGCAGCAUAGAUAGUGUUACCUUUACUGAGGUUAAAAUGUGAAAUAUCAUCCAUUGCUGAAGGACCCAUGUCCUUCCCUGAGAUACUGUACCCUCAAGAUAGAGCAUUUUUUUUCUUCAUACAGUGAGUUUUGAAAGAGAAUAUUCUAGAGUACUUCAGUCAUUUGAGACAAAGCCAUAUUUUUUUGUAUCCCCAGAAGUAAGGUAAGAUAGCUGACGGGGCCAUGCUACUGUUUUUAUUUACCCGACACCCAAAAUGUUUUCUUAUUCCUGCUGCUGCUGCUAUUAAGUCACUUCAGUCGUGUCUGACUCUUAGCGACCCCAUCGACGGCAGCCCACCAGGCUCCCCCGUCCCUGGGAUUCUCCAGGCAAGAACACUGGAGUGGGUUGCCAUUUCCUUCUCCAAUGCAUGAAAGUCAAAAGUGAAAGUGAAGUCGCUCAGUCGAGUCUGACUCUUAGCCACCCCGCAGACUGCAGCCCACCAGGCUUCUCCAUCCAUAGGAUUUUCCAGGCAAGAGUACUGGAGUGGGUUGCCAUUGCCUUCUCCGUCUUAUUCCUCAAAAUAAGGCUUACCUCCUAGUUAGGUUGACUUCCCACUCAUCUAGAUCAGGCACAUUGGGGGAACCAAGACAACAUUCUUUAAUGGCAGGCCUUGUCCUCAAACUGUCCUUUUCAUUUCCAAAAGUGAAGACCCGUGCAGAAAACUGUUAGGAAACAUGACUGAAACUUUCAGAAGAACAGCUGUGAGCGCUGUCACAGCAUAUUGCUCCAGAAACCUAGAGAUGAUGAUGUUUAAAAGAAAAAUUUCCCUCUGUGCAGUAUGAACAAGUUACCAUUGCCAUGGAAACCGUCCCUGGAACACCCUCUCCCAGCAGUUCUUGCUCAGUGAGUGAUACUUGUUGACCAUGGGAUCCACGGAGCUCGUGUGGCUCUGUGAGCAGCAUCGGGGACGCCGGGGGGGGGGGGGGGCAUGUAUGUGAGGCCCUGCCUCCUGGUCCGGCUCAGGCAAGAGGGGCAGCAGGCAUAGGAAGAGCUUGGAGUGCAGGGCCCAGAACUUUGCUCUUUUGGGUUUUGUUGUUGGAAUGGGUUUUAUUACUAAUUGGCUGUGAAAUCCUUUAGACAGCUCAGCAGCCCUUUAAGUGGGGAGAAAAGUGGUAGCUUUGAAGGGAGCAAUGUGAAGAGCAAGGCAUGCCUUGCAGGCGUUCUGAUGGUGCACAGGUGAGUCUAGGUGGGUCUAUCCCCCAGCUGUCCCCGCCAGUCCACGAGGAGGCCAGAGGCCAGCAGCUCUGUGAAUUGGUCUUGGUUUGCCUCUUGAGAGAGCAGAGGCCAGCCAGAGGUGACAGGAAACCUGGGCCUCACUUGUGUCCCCAGGGGAGGGAGCUCAGCGGGCAAGGGGGGCAUGUGGAAAAUGGGUUUUGCUGGGAGAGCCUGAGACUUUUCUUCAGUUUGGGCCCAACUCUCGGGACGCUGAGUGCAGGGAUGGCCUUAGGGCCCAGGAUGGAUAGUAGACGGGGCAUUUCGAGGAAGCCUGUGUGAGCUCAGAAGUGAAUGUCCUCUGCCAGGAAGUGGGCCACUGGCCACCGUGGGCCUCUGCCUGCUCCUUGCCGUGGCGGGGUUGGUGCCACCAGGGGGUCCCAGGCGGAGCAGGCAGGGACUGGGGUCCUCAGAGCCCUGUUCAGACGUGGGUCGGGCAGCAUGCCCUCGCGUUGUAUGCCCUGCGUCUGGGUGGCCUGUUUCCAGAUCCCAGCUUCUUAACCUCAGCAUUCCUCCCCCAGAAGGUCGGCAUGUUUGAGGUGUCUCAUGCUGGGAUGCUGGCUGGGGCCCCCAGACGGCACGUGCAAAGCAGGGCUUCUGGCAGCUGUCUGGAGGUCAGCAGCUCCCCAGGCUCAGGCCCUGUUAGGCGGGAACACGGGCUAGUCCUCGUCUCUCCCCUCCCGGCUUGCCCAGAACGCAGAAGUCCCUGAACAGCGCUCUCUGGUGCUUAGGAGGGGACCUUUCCCUGCCUGCAGAGACUUCGUGAAGACAAUCCCCCCGUGUCUAUAAGGCUCUGGGCUCAGAGCCCGCUGUGAGAAAAGUUGAUAGGCCCUUUGCCAGUGUGCCCAGAGGACAGGGAGAAGCGGUGGGCCAGGUGUGAGUGCCAGGCAGGAAGCUGAGGACGCCUCACCACUGGACUCGAGUCUCCUCCGCCGCCGAUGCCGGCCACUCCCAGGCCUGCCUGCCCCGCGCAGCCCUCGGUGGCCAGUGUGCCUUGCCACCCCGACAGCUAACAGCAAUCACAGGCUUCUCUUGUCUGUUUGCUGUUACUAGACUGUAAGCCCCAUGGGGUUUCCUUCCUGUAACCCAAGGGCCUAGCGUGGUGCCUGGUACAUAGUACAAAAGAGGUAUUCAUUGGCAACAGUGACGGAGCACGGGCCUGAGGGUCUGGAACACAGGAGGCGGCUGUUCUGAGUCUCCCCCUGAGCCGCCUCUCCCCCGUCGGCCCAGGCUAAGACAGGCUGACACAGGCCACAGCUGCAGGAAGCGGUGUUUGGUCCGGACAAGGCCCAUCCUGCUUGAUCUCCAGCAACUCUCUGGGCCCUUCCUGUGUUGCAGACGAGGCCCGGCGGUGAGGUGAGAAUGGAGCCCGCGGUCCCGCUUGGGCCGGUGCUCUUUGCUCUCCACCCGCCUGCCUGUACUGAUGCCUGUGUCGUGUCAUUCAGCCCAGACAUGCAGGUUCCUGCAGACGCCAAGGAGGAGGCCACCUGGUGAGAAAUCGGCCAUGAGAUGCAAACCUUCAAACUGAAAUGCUUGGGUGAGCGCCUUACUCUGGGCCUGGCCGUGUAGCGUCGCUCGGUCAGCAUGGCAUUUGGGUUUCAGUCCCUUGAAAGAGUAGUGACCUGAGGCUCGCCAGCGUGUGAGGUGUGUUCAGUCAGGAGGUUAGUCAGGAUUUGCUUAGGCAUUAACAGUGGCCCCCACCAUUACCUCUGUUUAGAGGUGGCCCCCACCAUUAACUCUGAUUAACACUGGCCACCACCAGUUACCUCUGACUGCUUAGUCACAAGCCAGAGCCUCCCGCAGAGCAGGGUCACCCUGGGGUGGAGGUUAGACCAGACCACACUGGCCAAGACGACCCAGUCUCAGGGUGACAGCAGGGGCCACUGGGGCCGGAUCGACGGGUCUGCUGCCGUCAGCAUGGGUUUGGUUGCCUUGUGGAUUUUUUGCUGUGGCUUUUUUGUGGCUGGCCACGUGACAGGGCUGAGUGGUUAUAUGCUCUGAGGUUCUCAUGCCCGCCCCAGCUCCCUGGUAUUCAUCCCUGAAGUUCUGACUGCGGUGAUACACAGAGCCGGCGGAGCAUCCCUCCCCAGCCUGUGCUGUGCCUCCUUCCUGCCCCCUCUCCGCCCGCCCUCUUAGAAAGGAAGCCUGCAGCUGCUCAUCAGCAACUUCUGCUCUGGGGGCCUCCGGUGCCCGGGUCUGUGGGGAGUUCCGGCGGCUGCUGCGUCUUCCUGACGUGUCGCAGCUUCCUACACUGCCCUGGCGCUCUCCUCUCCUCCGCA